rnacentral:rRNA from 1 species
AACGUAGGUGGCGAGCGUUAUCCGGAUUUACUGGGCGUAAAGGGUGUGCAGGCUGCCCCUCAAGUGGUGUAUGAAAGGGCUCGGCUCAACCGGGCUAGGUUAUGCCAGACUGAGGGGCUAGAGAGCGAGAGCGGGACGUGGAAUUCCGGGUGUAGUGGUGAAAUGCGUAGAGAUCCGGAAGAACACCGGUGGCGAAGGCGGUGAGCUGGGCAGUAGCUGACACUGAGGCGCGACAGCGUGGGGAGCAAACAGG